CUUUCUCCAAGCUCCGAGACGAGGGGGCGGGGCUUGCGAGUGACACCAGCGGCAGCCAAUGGGAGGAGCCUCGUGGACAGCGCCUCAGGUCCCGGUUUCUGUUUCCGGUGGCAAGUGGCGGGCGUUCGGCCUGUCUGCGCGAGGGGGGGGUGGCUGCGCAACCACUGCCUGAUGCCGCUACACAAGUACCCUCCGCGGAUCUGGGAAGCUCUGAAACUGAAGCAGGGCAUCUAUGCCCGUCUGCCUGCUCAUUAUCUCAAAUCACUACAGGAUAAUACACAGCCCACCCCAGUUCACUGGAAACCCCUUGGGGUGAAAUAUAAAUUAAAUCCAAAAACAGGCCAACGAGAGCGAGUGCAGGAUGUUCCUAUCCCAGUCUACUACCCCCCAGAGUCUCAGCAAGGGCUCUGGGGAGGAGAAGGCUGGAUUUCUGGCUAUCGGUAUGCUGGCAAUGACAAACUCUCAAACAGACUGAAGAAGACUUGGAAGCCACAGCUUUUUGAGCGGGAGUUAUAUAGUGAGAUCCUUGACAAGAAAUUGGCCAUUACAGUCACCAUGAGAACCCUGGACCUGAUCGACGCAGCCUAUGGAUUGGAUUUCUACAUCCUCAAGACUCCAAAGGUUGAUCUGUGUUCCAAGCUAGGGAUGGAUUUGAAACGAACAAUGCUGCUACGGCUCGCUCGGAGGGACCCUAGCCUGCAUCCAAAUGAUCCAGCAAAGAGAGAGGCUAUCUAUAACAAGUAUCAGGAAUUUGUGAUCCCAGAAGAGGAGGCUGAGUGGGUUGGGCUGAGUUUGGAAGAAGCUGUAGAAAAGCAGCGGCUUCUAGAGAAGAAGGAGCGAAGCUGUAUCCUUCCAUGGGAGAGAGGGGAAGGGCUUGGGAAAACAUCCCCAGGGUGAGCUGCAGGUUAGUGACGAGAGAUAAGUCUUGGUGCCGUAGUACAGAUAGAGAGAAGCAGCGUGAGUAAAAGGACCCUACUCCUCUUUUUAAAGUGUACGUGGAAGAGCUGGUGCAGCAGCUCACAGAGCAGUCGCUCUCUGAAGCAGCAGAAGUGAAGAAAUCCUAGCUAGGAACAGCUUCCUGUCACAGCCUGGAGUGUGCGGCCUUCCAGGACUAUUGAUUUCAGCAGGCCUCCCUCUGCCUCCUGAGUCACUCGUGCGGCAGAGAAAGUUGGGCUGUUGAAGAGUUUGGUCCAGAGUGAUCAUGGCUGCUACUGCACUCUAGCAAUAGUGGCACAAAGUGAAGUCUAAAUUCAGAAAGAAAAUGGCCCCUUUUAGUCAGGGGAAGGACUUACCCCCAUUGCUUCCCAUCAUGCGCCUGUUAUACUGACCAGAGUGACCGCCAUCUGCCUCUGCAAAUAAUUCCCUUUGGGUCUUGAACUGGGAGCUGAUUCAGAUGCUUUGAACUGGAUUCCUGAUAUACAAUGAAAUGUGCUUAUUCAGGGCAUCAAUAAAUAUCUUUGCAUCUGAUAACCCUAA